CAAAUUAUGCAGCCCAAUGUUAAUACUCCGAUUCAUAAAAUGGAGCACACAAGUCUUGCACUUCAAAAAUAUGAUAUUUAUCUGCUUUUACUGCAGAGAACAACAAUCUUGGAUGUUGACUCUAGCAGUGAGUCCAAUUGACUUGCAUAAGAAUGCAAGUUGAAAAAUCAAACAGAAAGCCCGGUUAUUGAAACUUCAAUAGGAAAGUUAAGUUCAAAGGCGUUCCUCCACUCCAGUGGUGGGUUGAAGGCAGGGAUAGCAGAGUGGCAUAAAAGAUGACAGUCUGGAACUGGGAGGAUCACUGCCACUGUCAGUUUGGAGUUUAGUUGCUACAAGGUGCAUUCCCAUUCAUGGCUAGGGAACAGUUGAACAACUAUGGCACUCAGACUUCCAACAUGAAAUGCAGAUACACGACUGUGCGAGGCGAAGACGGCUGCGCUCUUCCACCAUGCCAUGCACGAGACUGCACCGCAUGGAUUAUUAUGAGAAUGAGUUUGCAGUAAAACCACAGCCAAAGUUUUUGAAUGGGGCCUUGCAACAGACUCACGGAAAGCAACAGGAGUGGCACGAACCAGGGAAUGGAGUGGAAGGAGUCGUGGAACAGCAACCAAGCGAGUGAAGCCACCGAUAUCGAACUGGUGAAGUCAAUGAGGAAGGAUGAUGCUCCAUCACAAGAAGGAGCAUGGCUGCCAGAUAAGUGAAACGCAGCAACAAGAAAUGCAGGAGCAGGCUGCAGAUGGCGAUGAUGGUGGUGACGGGGUGAGUUUCAAAGGGUGAAGUCAACUUCCCCUGGUAUUUUACUUUGAUGAAGUCGACCAGGAUAGAGACAAUGGAGGUUAAAUCCAUGACGCCAUGAGGGAUGAAGGCAGGGACAUCAUUUGGGGUUCUUUUUAUGGACAGUGGCCCUCAAAAGAAAUUGGGAUCUAUUUGUUAUUGAAGAGAUCAAAGAUAAUCUCAAAAAUUGUUACAAGGAGUAGAAUAAUCGUUUCUAGUAGCCAUAUGAAGCAUAGAAAUUUUUCUUGAGGUUAAAGCUUCUGACCUCUUUGAAAACAUUGCGAGCGUUGCAGGUUUCCUUCUUUUUCUGGUGAAUCUCUUUGUAGCUUUCUGUUUGGCCCUCUGAUCAACAUGUGCCAUUUUACAUUCUUUGCUAGUAUACUAUGGUUUUGCUCAUA